rnacentral:rRNA from 1 species
AACGAACGCUGGCGGCAGGCUUAACACAUGCAAGUCGAGCGCCCCGCAAGGGGAGCGGCAGACGGGUGAGUAACGCGUGGGAACGUACCCUUUGCUACGGAAUAGCUCCGGGAAACUGGAAUUAAUACCGUAUGUGCCCUACGGGGGAAAGAUUUAUCGGCAAAGGAUCGGCCCGCGUUGGAUUAGCUAGUUGGUGGGGUAAUGGCCUACCAAGGCGACGAUCCAUAGCUGGUCCGAGAGGAUGAUCAGCCACAUUGGGACUGAGACACGGCCCAAACUCCUACGGGAGGCAGCAGUGGGGAAUAUUGGACAAUGGGCGCAAGCCUGAUCCAGCCAUGCCGGGUGAGUGAUGAAGGCCUUAGGGUUGUAAAGCUCUUUCACCGGAGAAGAUAAUGACGGUAUCCGGAGAAGAAGCCCCGGCUAACUUCGUGCCAGCCGCCGCGGUAA